ensembl:lncRNA
GGGAAGAGGCAGCACAGGGGGUUGUGCAGACAGUAGGUGAGAGUCCUGUAGGCCAAGGAGAUGGAUGGCCUUUGACACUGUCGUGAAGAACCUGUGCACCGUUCUUCCUCCCUACGGAUCCUGCGUGAGGUGGGAAAGGUCACCCAGGACUCAGGCUUGGUCAGCUGCUGUUGUUUGGGGGGUGCAUCUAAGUUCACGUGGAAAGGCUGUGUUCUCAGCUGGGAUGAAGCAGCUUCAGCCAGGGACUCCCACCUGUGGUUCUGGUGAAGCUCACCUCUCUGUCACAAAAUGUUGCUAUUGACUCCACUGCCC